UAUUGCACAAUGGGCGCAAGCCUGAUGCAGCCAUGCCGCGUGUAUGAAGAAGGCCUUCGGGGUGUAAAGUACUUUCAGCGGGGAGGAAGGGAGUAAAGUUAAUACCCUCGCUCAUUGACGUUACCCGCAGAAGAAGAACCGGCAAACUCCGUGCCAGCAGCCGCGGUAAUACGGAGGGUGCAAGCGUUAAUCGGAAUUACUGGGCGUAAAGCGCACGCAGGCGGUUUGUUAAGUCAGAUGUGCAAUCCCCGGGCUCAACCUGGGAACUGCAUCUGAUACUGGCAAGCUUGAGUCUCGUAGAGGGGGGUAGAAUUCCAGGUGUAGCGGUGAAAUGCGUAGAGCUCUAGAGGAAUACCGGUGGCGAAGGCGGCCCCCUGGACGAAGACUGACGCUCAGGUGCGAAAGCGUGGGGAGCAA
rnacentral:rRNA from 1 species